rnacentral:rRNA from 1 species
UACGGAGGAGGCAAGCGUUAUCCGGAAUUAUUGGGCGUAAAGGGCUCGUAGGCGGUCUGUUGCGUCAGGAGUGAAAACUCGGGGCUUAACCCCGAGCCUGCUUCUGAUACGGGCAGACUAGAGGUAUGCAGGGGAGAACGGAAUUCCUGGUGUAGCGGUGAAAUGCGCAGAUAUCAGGAGGAACACCGGUGGCGAAGGCGGUUCUCUGGGACGGUACUGACGCUGAGACGCGAAAGCGUGGGGAGCGAACAGG